UAAUACCCUAUAGGUUACAGAUGCUGGAAUGCUCUGUAAUCAAAAGUUCCGGCGCCCUAGGAUGGAUCUGCGGCCGAUUAGGUUGUUGUUGGGGUAAUGGCCCAACAAGCCUGUAAUCGAUACGGGUUGUGGGAGCAAGAGCCCGGAGAUGGAAUCUGAGACACGAUUCCAGGCCCUACGGGGCGCAGCAGGCGCGAAAACUUUACAAUGCAGGAAACUGUGAUAAGGGAACUCCGAGUGCCCGUAUACGCGGGCUGUCCAGGUGUUUAAAAAUCAUCUGAAGAAAGGGCCGGGCAAGACCGGUGCCAGCCGCCGCGGUAAUACCGGCGGCUCGAGUGGUGGCCACUAUUAUUGGGCUUAAAGCGUCCGUAGCUGGACCGAUAAGUCUCUUGGGAAAUCCGCCGGCUCAACCGGCGGGCGUCUAAGGGAUACUGUUAGUCUAGGGACCGGGAGAGGUGAGAGGUACUCCGGGGGUAGGAGUGAAAUCCUGUAAUCCCCGGGGGACCACCGAUGGCGAAGGCAUCUCACCAGAACGGCUCCGACAGUGAGGGACGAAAGCUGGGGGAGCGAACCGGAUGUAGAUACCCGGGUAGUCCCAGCCGUAAACUAUGCGCGUUAGGUGUAC
rnacentral:rRNA from 1 species